UCUGUUACGCCACUGUAAAGUAGAGUCGAUAAAACAGGAAUCGGUAAUCAGCUGCCGGCCGCAGUUAAAAGCCACGUACGAGGUUAAGCCCACUGUAAACCAAAUUUUCAAAGGAAAAUUAGCAAUUUCCAGUUAUUUAGCGUGAAAAACACAAACGAUCAACAAUGAUAACCGACGUACACCUAGCUGUCCUCGCCAACGCGUUGGGAGUAACGUUAUUUUUGCUGGUGCUGCUCUACCAUUACAUCAAUGCAAAUUACUCGAAAUAGUCUAUUAUUGUGUUAUAAUAUAAUGUUUAUAUCCUUUUUACGUAUUACCAGCAACUGAAAUGUAUGAUUAAAGUACUUUUGUGGCUUA